GACGAACGCUGGCGGCGUGCUUAACACAUGCAAGUCGAGCGGAAAGGCCACUUCGGUGGUACUCGAGCGGCGAACGGGUGAGUAACACGUGAGUAAUCUGCCCCUGGCUUUGGGACAGCCACCGGAAACGGUGAUUAAUACCGGAUACGACCACUUCUCGCAUGGGAUGGUGGUGGAAAGUUUUUUCGGCCAGGGAUGUGCUCGCGGCCUAUCAGCUUGAUGGCGAGGUAAUGGCUCACCAUGGCUUCGACGGGUAGCCGGCCUGAGAGGGUGACCGGUCACACUGGGACUGAGACACGGCCCAGACUCCUACGGGAGGCAGCAGUGGGGAAUAUUGGACAAUGGGCGGAAGCCUGAUCCAGCAACGCCGCGUGAGGGAUGACGGCCUUCGGGUUGUAAACCUCUUUCAGCAGGGACGAAGCGCAAGUGACGGUACCUGCAGAAGAAGCACCGGCCAACUACGUGCCAGCAGCCGCCGAA
rnacentral:rRNA from 1 species